GCAUAGAUGGCGCAGCCUGGUUACCGCAGCGGUCUGCAAAACCGUUAUUCGUGGGUUCAAAUCCCACUCUGUGCU
rnacentral:tRNA from 1 species